GAUGAACGCUGACAGCAUGCUUAACACAUGCAAGUCUUUGGCGAAUCUGUGCUUGCACCGGCUAGCCAAGGCGGACGGGUGAGUAACGCGUAAAGAACUUGCCCUGCAGACAGGGAUAACAGACGGAAACGACUGAUAACACCUGAUACAGUUGCCGGCACGCAUGUGCCUGGCAAUGAAAAGAGAUGCUGCAGGAGAGCUUUGCGUCCUAUUAGCUUGUUGGUGAGGUGACGGCUCACCAAGGCGAUGAUAGGUAGCCGGCCUGAGAGGGUGAACGGCCACAAGGGGACUGAGAUACGGCCCUUACUCCUACGGGAGGCAGCAGUGGGGAAUAGUGGACAAUGGGGGCAACCCUGAUCCAGCAAUUCUGUGUGCACGAAGAAGGUUUUCGGAUUGUAAAGUGCUUUCAGCAGGGAAGAAGAAAGUGACGGUACCUGCAGAAGAAGCGACGGCUAAAUACGUG
rnacentral:rRNA from 1 species